rnacentral:rRNA from 1 species
CCGGCACGGUGAGUAACACGUAUCCAACCUGCCGUCUACUCUUGGACAGCCUUCUGAAAGGAAGAUUAAUACAAGAUGGCAUCAUGAGUCCGCAUGUUCACAUGGUUAAAGGUAUUCCGGUAGACGAUGGGGAUGCGUUCCAUUAGAUAGUAGGCGGGGUAACGGCCCACCUAGUCUUCGAUGGAUAGGGGUUCUGAGAGGAAGGUCCCCCACAUUGGAACUGAGACACGGUCCAA